AUGGGUGAGCCGGUUAAGGUGAUGAGCACUUUCGGCAGCAUAUACGGCCACCGUCCGGAGGUUGCCCUGAGGCUCAAGGGCAUACCUUACGAGCUGCUCCUCGAAGACCUUCCCAACAACAAGAGCGAGCUGCUGCUGACGUGCAACCCCGUCCACAAACUGGUUCCCGUGCUCCUUCAUGGCGACAGAUCCAUCUGCGAGUCGCUCAUCAUCGUCGAGUACAUCGACGAGGCCUUCAAGGGGCCGCCGCUGCUACCGGCCGAGCCGUACGAGAGGGCCACGGCCCACUUCUGGGCGCAGUUCAUUGACCAAAAGUUUGCUAGGCCGUUCUGGAUGUCGAUAUGUAUGGCGGAUGGUGACAAGGAGGAGGAGGAGGAGGACUUCUUGAAGGAGGCCAAGGCGAAUCUGCUGCUUCUCGAGGGGCAGCUCAAGGUGGAAGAGGAGAUUUCCGGGGUGGAUCUGCUCACCGAUGAGAAGUUCCCUGCUCUAAACCGAUGGGCGAAAGAAUAUGCCGGCGACGAGCAUGCUAAGGAGUGCCUGCCGAACAAGGAUGAACUGGUUGCCAAGUUCACUGCAGUGAAGAAGAAGUUUCUAGCAAUGGCAGAGGUUCAGAAGUGA
rnacentral:rRNA from 1 species